rnacentral:antisense_RNA from 1 species
GGGUGCUACCACGAGGAGCAGCUUCUUUGUUGCCAUUUUGUUCGAAAAAGAUCU